AAGACCGGUUGAAGGGCGAGUUAACGUUAACGUUAGCGUCGUCAGCUAACAGUAGAGCGCAACUAACGUUAAACACAACUAACUAGCUAGCCGUGCUUUAGCUUUCUCAAACUCUAGGCGGCAUUCUGCAUUCUCCAUACAGUUCACAGCCAUAGCUUCGCCCACGACUGCCUCAUAUGAACUCGAAUCCCCUACGCUGUGGUUAACGUUUAGAAACGUCAGUAAUCAUCGCUUUCGAAACAUAUGGCGGUUAUCUUUCAUCAACGAGAAAUAAUCCUUCAAAUAAAAAAAUACUUAAUGUUGCAGUUUUAAUCCAUAGCGCUAUGGGUGCCUCCAUCCAGCGAAGCUAACCAAGAUGUUGGAAUACCUAACUAUCAGUGUCUGAAGACUGCUUAUUAAACACACAAGUAGCCAACUGAGCCCAGCACUGAUUAGGUGUCCUCUGCACAGUGAAUAAGCAAGAUCAAUCACCAUGGAAACCGAAGCAAAGCGACUCACGCACGCGAGUGGCAGCCCACGUGUCUUUCCUGGUUAUGCAAUGGAACUCCUCUGUGCCCUACUUCCGCCGUUACGUCAAGAAGGUGGAGACGCUGAGGAAACCCGCGGUGACGGCUAUGAACCACACCAGCUCCCUGCAGGACGAGCUGAGGAGACUCCACUCUCUCCGUUGCCACAGAGUCUGGUUGGGAAUUUGUAAAGGAAUUGUUUUCAUUAAGUUCAAUUCCCCAGUGAAAGGGGCUCUUUCUCUGGCCAAGUUAGCUAUAUUAUGCCUAUUCAAGGGUUGCACCUCUGUCACGUAGUUGCCAUUAUUAUGAACAUUCUACAGACGCCGUGGCCAUAUUGUUGCCCAAACGUCCUGUGAAUCACAGUAUUCUGAAAGGGGGCUAAUGACUGUUUAGUCUAAAAUACAUGGUAGUGAUCUGGAAAUAUGAUGGCAUUGCUAAAAUAGGCAACUAUUUAGUAGGAAUCAGCUUUUCCAUUAUGAUGUUGUCAAAUUUGCUUUAGACAGAUGACAAUGCUGUCAUCAGCUAGCAAAGUUUGCCCAAAAUAGCUACCAAUGUUAAUGUUAACUAACUCAAAACCGGUGGUCUCCCCUCAAUCCUAGCUAGCUAGCUAAUGUUAUACUGCUUCUAAAGUCAAUCUGGAGACAUCACAUUUUAUUUGUCACAUGCGCCGAAUACAACAGGUUUAGACCUUACCGUGAAUUGCUUACUUACAAGCCCAUAACCAACAAUGCAGUUCAAGAAAGUGUUAAGAAAAUGUUUUGAGAAAGAAAAGAAAAAGUAACACGAUAAAAUAACAAUAACGAGGCUAUAUACAGGGGGUACCGGUACCGAGUCAUUGUGUAGGGGUACAGGUUAGUUGAGGUAAUUUGUACAUGUACACUGCCGUUCAAAAGUUUGGGGACACGUAAGACAUUUCCUUGUUUUUGAAAGAAAAGUAACUUUUUUGUCCAUUUAAAAUAACAUGAAAUUGAUGAGAAAUACAUUGUAGACAUUGUUAAUGUUGUAAAUGACUAUUGUAGCUGGAAACGGCAGAUUUUCUUUUAAUGGAAUAUCUACAUAGGCGUACAGAGGCCCAUUAUCAGCAAACAUUGCUCAUGUGUUCUAAUGGCAUGUUGUGUUAGCUAAUCCAAGUUUAUCAUUAUAAAAGGCUAAUUGAUCAUUAGGAAACCCUUUGGCAAUUAUGUUAGCACAGCUGUAAACUGUUGUACUGAUUAAAGAAGCAAUACAACUGGCCUUCUUUAGACUAGUUGAGUAUCUGGAGCAUCAGCAGUUGUGGGAUCGAUUACAGGCUCAAAAUGGCCAGAAACAAAGACUUUCUUCUGAAACUCGUCAGUCUAUUCUUGUUCUGAGAAAUGAAGGCUGUUCCAUGUGAGAAAUUGCCAAGAAACUGAAGAUCUCGUACAACGCUGUUUUCUACUCCCUUCACAGAACUGGCCCUAACCACAAUAGAAAGAGGAGUGGGAGGCCCCGGUGCACAACUGAGCAAGAGGACAAGUACAUUAGAAUGUCUAGUUUGAGAAACAGAUACCUCACAAGUCCUCCACUGGCAGCUUCAUUAAAUAGUGCCCGCAAAACACCAGUCUCAACAUCCACAGUGAAGAGGUGACUCAGGGAUGCUAGCCUUCUAGGCAUAGUUCCUCUGUCCAGUGUCUGUGUUCUUUUGUCUAUCUUAAUCUUUUAUUUUUAUUGGCCAGUCUGAAAUAUGGCUUUUUCUUUGCAACUCUGCCUAGAAGGCCAGCAUCCCGGAGUCGCCUCUUCACUCUUGACAUUGAGACUGGUGUUUGACCACCUAGAUAGGUAGCAUUAUCAUCUACAAACCAAACACACUAACGUUAUGUCAGCAAUUUGCAUAUCUAGCUUUAGCUAACGUUAGCUAGUUUAAAUGAAGGCAUGGCAUCUUGUGGGGUUUAUGCAGUGUAGCUGCAUGACGCUAUUAUUAGAUUCCUUUGAAUACAAAUGCAAGGCAAUUGAUAAUAGAGGUCGACCGAUUAUGAUACCGAUACCGAUUAUUGGAGGACCCCAAAAAAUCCGAUGCCAAUUAAUCAGCCGAUUUUAAAAAUUUGUAAUAAUGACAAUUACAACAAUGCUGAAUGAACACUUAUUUUAACUUAAGAUAAUACAUCAAUAAAAUCAAUUUAGCCUCAAAUAAAUAACGAAACAUGUUCAAUUUGGUUUAAAUAAUGCAAAAACAAAGUGUUGGAGAAGAAAGUAAAAGUGCAAUAUGUGCCAUGUAAGAAAGCUAACGUUUAAGUUCCUUGCUCAGGUCAAUAUCCCCAGGUAAGAAGUUUUAGGUUGUAGUUAUUAUAGGAAUUAUAGGACUAUUUCCCUCUAUUAUACCAUUUGUAUUUCAUUAACCUUUGACUAUUGGAUGUUCUUAUGGGCACUUUAGUAUUGCCAGAGUAACAGUAAAGCUUCCGUCCCUCUCCUCGCUGCUCCCUGGGCUCGAACCAGGAACACAAUGAGAACAGCCACCCUCGAAGCAGCGUUACCCAUGCAGAGCAAGGGGAACAACCACUCCAAGUCUCAGAGCGAGUGACGUUUGAAACGCUAUUAGCGCGCACCCCCGCUAACUAGCUAGCCAUUUCACAUCGGUUACACCAGCCUCAUCUCGGGAGUUGAUAGACUUGAAGUCAUAAACAGCGCAAUGCUUGACGCACAACGAAGAGCUGCUGGCAAAAUGCACGAAAGUGCUGUUUGAAUGAAUGCUUACGAGCCUGCUGCUGCCUACCACAGCUCAGUCAGAUACUUGUAUGUUUGUAUGCUCAGUCAGAUUAUAUGCAAAGCAAGACUCGCUAAAUAAACUAGUAAUAUCAUCAACCAUGUGUAGUUAACUAGUGAUUAUGAUUGAUUGAUUGUUUUUUAUAAGAUAAGUUUAAUGCUAGCUAGCAAUUUACCUUGGCUUACUGCAUUUGCGUAACAGGCAGUCUCCUUGUGGAGUGCAACGAGAGGCAGGUGGUUAUAGUGUUGGACUAGUUAACUGUAAGGUUGCAAGAUUGGAUACCCCGAGCUGACAAGGCAAAAAUCUGUCAUUCUGCCCCUGAACGAGGCAGUUAACCCACCGUUCCUAGGCCGUCAUUGAAAAUAAGAAUGUGUUCUUAACUGACUUGCCUCGUUAAAUAAAGAUUAAAUAAAGGUGUAAAAAAACAUAUUUUUUUAGAUUGGCCAAAUCGGUGUCCAAAAAUACCAAUUUCCGAUUGUUAUGAAAACUUGAAAUCGGCCUUAAUUAAUCGGCCGACCUCUAAUUGAUAAGCAUCAAAAACUUUGGAUUGAGCCUCGAGAGUGGUGCAGCAGUCUAAGACACUGCAUCGAAAGGGCAAACUGCGUUGCUACAGAUGCUGGUUCGAGACCCGUGCUGGCGGCGCCCGGGAGACCCAUGAGGUGACGCACAAUUGGCCCAGCGUUGUCUGAGUUAGGGGAGUGUUUGGCUGGCCGGGAUGUCCUUGUCUCAUCGCUCUUUAGUGGUGGUCCAGGCGCAUAGGUGUUCCUUUUCCUUUUGGCCCCCCGUAAGAGGGUCACUUCUGGGCCGAUUCCUCAUUGCUAGCUGGGAUCAGUCCAUGAGAACUUGGGCCAUUUCAGUGUCACACUUCCGUUAAAAAUGAAUUCCAACGUUUAUCCAGUUUCUGGAUCGGUCACGAGGAGUAUUUUUCUCGCUUCUUUUUCUCUUUUGGGGUGAAGUUGAUUCAGAUUCAAGAACUGAGAAUGCUGCAUGUUUCUUUUCUCCCUGCUACAAUGACUGUUUAUCUUCAAACAAGUUAGCUAGCUUGUUGGCUUCGUUGGCUCUGUUUGUUUCUGGGGGCUGUUAGCUUGUAAAUUGGCUUUCAUUUCCGCUGCGGGCCAUGGCAGCAGGGUCAUUCUCAAGUAGAUGGGAUUUAACGCAAAGAUACACCUUGCCCAGAAGGAGAGCCCAAGGCAGAUCAGGGCUCAAUCCCUUGUUUUUUCGUUCAAAGUGAAAACCCUACACAAGAAGUGGGUUCAAGAUUCCUGCUUUAAGGUGUCAUCACCUUCAAUAUGGCUUUAGUGCAAUGCUGAUGUGUUAUAAGAGCCUCCUGUAAUAAUCAACCACACGCCACACUGCCCUUUCUCACCUGGACAAAAGGAACACCUAUGUGAGAAUGCUGUUCAUUGACUACAUCUCAGCGUUCAACACUAUAGUGCUGAAAAAUGAAUCAAAUGGCCACCCAUACUAUUUACAUUGACCCCCCUUUGUUUUUACGCUUGCUGUUUAUUAUAUAUGCAUAGUCACUUUACCCCUAACUACAUGUACAAAUGACCUCGACUAACCUGUACCGCCACACAUUGACUAAGUACCGGUACCCCUGUAUAUAGCAUCGUUAUUGUUCUUUUAUUGUUCUUUUUUAUUGAUUUUGUAAUUGUUUUCUUAACUCUAUUUCUUGAACUGAAUUGUUGGUUAAGGGCUUGUAAGUAAGCAUUUCACGGUAAGGUCAUCAUAUAUUG